rnacentral:rRNA from 1 species
GACGAACGCUGGCGGCGUGCUUAACACAUGCAAGUCGAACGGUGAAGCUCCAGCUUGCUGGAGUGGAUCAGUGGCGAACGGGUGAGUAACACGUGAGCAACCUGCCCCUGACUCUGGAAUAAGCGCUGGAAACGGCGUCUAAUACUGGAUACGAGAAGGGCCCGCAUGGGCACUUUCUGGAAAGUUUUUCGGUUGGGGAUGGGCUCGCGGCCUAUCAGCUUGUUGGUGAGGUAAUGGCUCACCAAGGCGACGACGGGUAGCCGGCCUGAGAGGGCGACCGGCCACACUGGGACUGAGACACGGCCCAGACUCCUACGGGAGGCAGCAGUGGGGAAUAUUGCACAAUGGGCGAAAGCCUGAUGCAGCGACGCCGCGUGAGGGAUGACGGCCUUCGGGUUGUAAACCUCUUUCAGCAGGGAAGAAGCGAAAGUGACGUUACCUGCAGAAGAAGCACCGGCUAACUACGUG